CGAGUGAGGCCUCGUGGUCAGACUCCCAAACCCAUGUGAUCAGACUCUGUUGCCUCGGGGGCCGUACCCGGUAGCUACCCUGUAGCUACCCUGGAGUCCCCCGGUGGAUUCCACACAACUCUGCAUUCAUUUGUCAGCUCUGAGAUAAACAUAAUGAAAUCA
rnacentral:misc_RNA from 1 species